rnacentral:rRNA from 1 species
GGAGCAUGCGGCUUAAAUUCGACGCAACGCGAAGAACCUUUACCAAGGCUUGACAUAUACAGGAAUAUGGCAGAGAUGUCAUAGCCGCAAGGUCUGUAUACAGGUGGUGCAUGGUUGUCGUCAGCUCGUGUCGUGAGAUGUUGGGUUAAGUCCCGCAACGAGCGCAACCCUCGUUCUGUGUUGCCAGCAUUUAGUUGGGGACUCACAGGAGACUGCCGGGGUUAACUCGGAGGAAGGUGGGGAUGACGUCAAAUCAUCAUGCCCCUUAUGUCUUGGGCUGCACGCAUGCUACAAUGGCUGGUACAAACGGCUGCAAUACCGCAAGGUGGAGCGAAUCCGAGAAAGCCAGUCUCAGUUCGGAUUGGGGUCUGCAACUCGACCCCAUGAAGUCGGAGUUGCUAGUAAUCGUAGAUCAGCAACGCUACGGUGAAUACGUUCCCGGGGCUUGUACACACCGCCCGUCACGUCACGA